rnacentral:tRNA from 1 species
GAGGGUAUAGGUCAGGGGUAGGGUGCAUGCCUAGCAUGCCUGAGGUCCUGGGUUCAAUCCCCAGUAACUCCA